UUAUACGACCCCAAAAAAAUUUUGUGGUCGUAUAUUGGUAUGACGUUGGCGUCGUUGUCGUCGUCGUCGUCGUCGUCGUCGUCGUCGUCCGGCGUCGUCGUCGUCCGGCGUCGUCGUCCGAAUACAUACUGGUUUUCGCACUCUAACUUUAGUUUAAGUGAAUGGAUCUUUUUGAAAUUUGACCAUAAGGUUAAAUACCACAAAAGGAAGGUUGGGAUUGAUUUUGGGGGUUAUGGUACCAACAGUUAAGGAAUUAGGGGCCAAAAAUAAGCAUUUUCUAGUUUCCAGACAAUAACUGUGGAACGGUGUAUGGAUCUCUCUGAAAUUAUACUACAAGUUUCCAUACCACAAAGGGAUGGUUAGGAUUUGCUUUGGGGGGUUAUGGCUCAAACCGUUUAGGAAUUAGGGGCAAAAAAGGGGGAAAAACAAGGUUGUCCUGGUUAAUGGACAAAUACUUUUGUACAAAACAUAAUUUAAAGCAGUGUAAGGGAGAUAAAUCAAAUACAUCAUUGAGAUUAUCUCCCUUACACUGCUUUUAAAUUAUGUAUAAAGUAAUGGUUAAUGAACAAUAAAGAUAAUUUAAAACAGUGUAAGGGAGGUAAUCAAAAUACAACGUUUUGGUUACUUCCCUUACACUGCUUUUAAAUUAUGUUUAAAGAAAUGCAUAUCUAUAAAGGAAGACCAGUAAAAAUAUCUGCAAAUGUUACAUCUUUUUUUUUUACAAAAAAAUCCAUAUGAAAGAUUUGACAGUAUAUUUUUAAUUCUAUUAUAAAAUAGAUUAAGUUAGCACUAUGGUAAAUUUAAAUGGGUAAUUAUGGUUGCCAACUCCAUUGGAAAUUUGAAUUGAGAUUAUGACCAUAUCUUGAGGGAAAGAAUUUUUUUGGGGAAAAAAGGGGGGGAUAAAAAGAAAUUGUGGGGGGUCAAUUUUUUCUCAUUUCAGAUUUCAGAAUUUAAAAAGAAUUAUUCUUCAAAUAUUAUUUUUUUUUCAAAUUUCAAAUAUUGAAAAAUUUCAAGAAGUAAUCUUUAAUUGCACAGUAUGGCGCAUUAGAUUUGUAAAAUCUUUGAUCACAUUUAUUUAUUUGUUAUGCCGAAUCUAACAGUGUAUUUAAAUUUUUAAUUUUGGGUCCAGUUUUCAAAUUGGUCUACAUUAAGGUCCAAAGGGUCCAAAAUUAAACUUUGUUUGAUUUUAGCAAAAAUUGAAUAUAUGAGGUUCUUUGAUAUGCUGAAUCUAACCAUGUAUUUAGAUUUUUGAUUAUAGGCCCAGUUUUCAAGUUGGUCCAAAUUGGGGUCCAAAUUUAAACUUUGUUUGAUUUCAACAAAAAUUGAAUAUAUGAGGUUCUUUGAUAUGCUGAAUCUAACUAUUAUUUAGAUUUUUUAUUUGUGGGCCCCGCUAUCAAAUUGGUUCAUAUUGAGGUCAAAAGGGUCCAAAAUUAAACUUUGUUUGAUUUCAUCAAAAAUUGAAUUAUUGGGGUUCUUUGAUAUACCAAAUCUAACCGUGUUUUUAGAUUUUUAAUUUGGGUCCCGUUUUUUAAAUUGGUCUUCAUUGAGGUCCAAAGGGUCCAAAAUUAAACUUAGUUUGAUUUUAACAAAAAUUGAAUUCUUGGGGUUCUUUGAUAUGCUUAAUCUAAACAUGUGUUUAGAUUUUUGAUUAUGGGCCCAGUUUUCAAGUUGGUCCAA